rnacentral:tRNA from 1 species
CCUGACGUCUCAGCAGGAAAAGAAUCUGCCUGCAAUGCAGGAGAUGCAGGUUCAAUUCCUGAGUCAGGA